UAUUAUUUGAUUUUGAUUUAUUUUUGGAUGUUUUGUAACUUUCAGAAUUCAAAACGUGUUGAAGAGCUAAUGGAGGCCUUGGAUGAAUACCGAAUGGUGGUACAGGAACUGAAACUGGAAGUCAGCAGGCUGCAAGACCAUCUGUGUCAACCUUACCAAGAUCCAGACAUGCUGCCGAGAAAUUCCCUUGAUAAUAUGAAGACUUGCUUACAAGCCACUGCACAGCCACUCUGUAUGGAGCUUGAAGAAUUAUGGAAACAGAAUUUUGGGGAGGAGGCUGGUUUGCCUAGUCCAUUAUGUGGGAUGAUACCAUCUUUGGUAACAGAUCAGAUAGCGGCAGAGGGCAUUGGAAUUUUGACAGAAGAACAGGAAUUCUGCCAAUCAGAAACAGACAGUAACAAAGCCUUAUUGCAAAGAUCACCUAAUGUAUCUCACUCAAGUGUUAUGACAGAUGCUCUACUAAUAGUAGAGAAAAAUCAGGAAGGCAAACAGCAACAGAAUCUUGCUGCAGAGAUGAUAGGAAGCAUGGAAAAAACAAAACAAGACAUCCUAGCAGGCAAACAGUUUGGCAACAAGAUAAUUGAAUUGACUUCAAGAAACAAUAAAAUCUGG
rnacentral:lncRNA from 1 species